GUGCUUACUUUGGCAGUUCAAAAGCUAAAACUGAAACCACACAGAAGAGACUAGCAUGGUCCUAUGAAAGGAUGACAUGAAAAUCUGUGUAGCAUUCAUAUUUUUG
rnacentral:snRNA from 1 species